AGUAAAACCUAAAAAAGUUCUCUCUUAAUAAAUAUUGUUGUUUGAAAAGUAUUUUGUCAUACUCCUAUACAAAGUUUCUUUACAACUAUCCUUCGCUUGAGUCGUUAUGUCUGACAACCCCAAUGGCAUAACAUGAAAUAUUUUUUCUGUUGCAAUAAUUAAUGUAAUCUUAUACGGUAAUAAGAGUUUUGGCCUAGUGGCUUCAGCGUGCGACUCAUUCCUGUGGUCGUAGUUUCUAUCCUCGGUUGUAGAGUAAUUGACUUUCUUUUUAUGUGCGCAAUUAACAUUCGUUUGUACGGGCAGGAAAACAUCGUAAGAAAACCAGCUUGCAGUAGACCCAAAAACUUGAUCGUAUGUCAGGCUGAUCGCCUACUUGUCUAUUAGAUGGACUAAAAAUCAUUAAACAGAUGCAUAAAUCUGAGGCCCAGACCUAAAGAGGUUGUAGCGCCACUGAUUUUUAUACGCAAUGUGCCUUUACAGUUAAAUGUUUAUGGGCUGCGAUUAAUGUGUUACUUAUUUAAGUUACAGUGGUUACAACUGUUCAUCGUUAUAAAUACUCACAUGAAAGUUCGUUUCAACAAAUUACGGCUGCAUGUUCGCAAUGAAAUUUGCUGAAAGCGAAAAAAUCUGAAGUUUUAAGUGCAACUUUGACGUUGAUUUCAAUUGGAUCAAUAGUAGAAGUUUGCUAUGUGUAGUCCAUUAAAGCAUUUAGUUGAACAAUCCCCAGUGUUGCCAACUUGUUGAUUAUUGCUGACUCCCAUAAAUCUACUCUACUACGAUUAUAACAGACAUGUUCUAUUGAAUAUUUGGCUGUUAUUGCUUUAAAAUUCAUUUUAAUUAAAAAACACAUCUAUGUCUUGAUCUUUAACGUUCAUGUUUUUUCUUUAAAAUAUUUUAAUAUACGGAAAAAAUAAUAUUAUAAUAUAUCAACUAUAUUUUGACUCGUACCUAUUAAUGCUAAUAUUAAAAAUACUGAAUUUUUAUGUAAGUUUUUUUGAUUCCGCAUUUAUUCAGAAAAACAACUCACAUAACAUCCAAUGUUAAAUGGUUAAAAAUUAAUCAUCCAUAGAUAAUUCGAAUUUUCUAGAUUUUAAUUUAAAUCUUGCACGUUCCCGACUCAAUGAUCUAACAAUGCAUUUCAUUACGUCGAUUUCACGCCUCAAUCCAUCACGGCUUGCCAUUUCAAUACAGUCGCAAUAAACCUACACGGUUAAUAUGGUACUUAAAAUUAUUUUUAUCGUCACGUGCGAAUUAUUAAUAACCUAUGGAAACGCAAGAAUAAUUAUGCUGCGAAAUUUAGAUUUCAAAACAAACGGUGUACCUCAAACACUGAAAAUAGAUGAAACGCCUCAUGUUAAUUUGACUAAAAAAUCUGAAGAACGAGUUUCUAGUAGGACUCAAGAAGUUUCCACAGAAAAGGAUAUAAGUGAAGAGAAGUUACAAAAGUCAACAGCGGACCCAAUGACAAGAAGAACUUCGAAAAAAUAAAAUUGAUGUUAAAGGAAAUAAAGAAAAUGUUGAAAAAGGAAGCGAAAACUACGGGAGUAGAAAAUGAUUAUUUUAAAUCGUACGUGCCUAUAAGUGAAGAUGUCGAGAAUCCAGAGCCUCGAGGUAUGGCGAGGACCUCCGCCAAUUUUGUGGAUGGAUUAAAUCUUAUUAAUAGAGGCAGGAAGAUACACGACAUUGUCUAGACUAUUAUUCAGUAUUAAUAAUCAUAAUUACAUGUAGGUAAUAUAAUUUUGUUUUAUGUUCAAUUUUUAACUUUUUUUAUUGCGCUCGCAAACGAGCUGGAGGCCCAUCUGUUAAGUAAUACCGCCGCCCGUGGACACUCUCAAUGCCAGAGGGCUCGCGAGUGUGUUUCCGGUCUUUUAAGAAUUUUUAACCUUUUUUCUUGAAGAACCCUGAGUAAAGUAAGUAUCCUUUGGAAGUGCGCCAAUUGACUUAAUUUUAAAGCAUUUAUAUAUUGAAUAGCUAAUUGUUAAUUUUUUCAUGGCAAGAAGCCUUUAGCGUCGGCGAGUAUUUAGACCAUAAGUUUUUAACAAUUAUAAAUAAGUCAACUUAUUAUUAUGACAAUAUGUUAAUGUUCUUAUUAUAUGAUAUUAAAAUUAAUAUGACAUUUC